rnacentral:rRNA from 4 species
AAAUUGAAGAGUUUGAUCAUGGCUCAGAUUGAACGCUGGCGGCAGGCCUAACACAUGCAAGUCGAACGGUAACAGGAAGCAGCUUGCUGCUUUGCUGACGAGUGGCGGACGGGUGAGUAAUGUCUGGGAAACUGCCUGAU